AGUGAACGCUGGCGGCGUGCUUAACACAUGCAAGUCGAACGAGUAAUUGCUGUAGCAAUACAGAUUACUGCUAGUGGCAGACGGGUGAGUAAUACAUGGGAAUCUUCCUUGGAGUCUGGGAUAACUGUUGGAAACGACAGCUAAUACCGGAUAUUGCCGAGAGGUGAAAGAAUUUCGCUCCAAGAUGAGCCCAUGCAAGAUUAGCUAGUUGGUAGGGUAAUGGCCUACCAAGGCGAAGAUCUUUAGCUGGUCUGAGAGGAUGAUCAGCCACACUGGAACUGAGACACGGUCCAGACUCCUACGGGAGGCAGCAGUGGGGAAUAUUGGACAAUGGGCGAAAGCCUGAUCCAGCGACGCCGCGUGGGUGAUGAAGGCCUUCGGGUUGUAAAGCCCUUUCGUCAGGGAAGAUAAUGACGGUACCUGAAGAAGAAGCUCCGGCUAACUUCGUGCCAGCAGCCGCAGUAA
rnacentral:rRNA from 1 species